UUUAGUGCUGUGGGUAAGUUUUCGUUAGCAGAUCAGCUCAAGUUUGAAAUUUAGUUUUUGAAAUGAAAUUUAAGUAUCAAAGCAAACAACCCAAGCCUUUCAAAAUAAUUAAAAGUAUUGCAAGAUCUUUGGCUGCAGCACUGACUAAGUCGUUUUUCUAUCUGGGCAGCCCAGCACUGUGCACCGCACACCAGUUGGCUCUCGUGAGCAGCUUCCAUCCGUAUUAUAGUAUAUCCUAUUGGUCGCAUUGUGGGCUCUGCUCGUAUCGCAAUGCUGGACGCGGUUCUGUUUGUGCUCUAUGAGUUCUUUAAGUAUGUCUUUCCGAUACGCAUACUCAAUGAAAUCGACGAUUUGGUAUUGCCCAGCGAGCGGGAGCGUAACGUCUGGUAUGAAGCCUAAGGCCACAUUUAUUUUUCCUUAUUUGAUAUGGCAACUAAUUGAUUGAUGAUGAUGUUGUGUGGGAAGAGUUUCCAAUAAAGCGCAUUCCUUGAGCCUAAAGA